CAGUGAAAAGCCAAACUAGAGGCAUUUAACUGUUAAUUAAAAAAUUGUAAUAUUUAUUACUUCGCUGG
rnacentral:tRNA from 1 species